rnacentral:tRNA from 1 species
GUCUGGCUGGCUCAGUUGGUAGAGUAUGUGACUCUUGGUCUCAGGGUUGUGAGUUUGAGCCUCACGUUGGGUG